GUUUAAAUUCCACUUAAUCCCUAUCAGGGAUUGAAAC
rfam:Microcoleus sp. PCC 7113, complete genome.